GACGAACGCUGGCGGCGUGCCUAAUACAUGCAAGUAGAACGCACAGUUUAUACCGUAGCUUGCUACACCAUAAACUGUGAGUUGCGAACGGGUGAGUAACGCGUAGGUAACCUGCCUGGUAGCGGGGGAUAACUAUUGGAAACGAUAGCUAAUACCGCAUAAUAUUGAUUAUUGCAUGAUAAUUGAUUGAAAGAUGCUAUUGCAUCACUACCAGAUGGACCUGCGUUGUAUUAGCUAGUAGGUGAGGUAACGGCUCACCUAGGCGACGAUACAUAGCCGACCUGAGAGGGUGAUCGGCCACACUGGGACGGAGACACGGCCCAGACUCCUACGGGAGGCAACAGUAGGGAAUCUUCGGCAAUGGACGAAAGUCUGACCGAGCAACGCCGCGUGAGUGAAGAAGGUUUUCGGAUCGUAAAGCUCUGUUGUAAGAGAAGAACGGGUGUGAGAGUGGAAAGUUCACACUGUGACGGUAUCUUACCAGAAAGGGACGGCUAACUACGUG
rnacentral:rRNA from 1 species